rnacentral:misc_RNA from 1 species
GAAAUGCGAUAAUUAAUGUGAAUUGCAGAAUUCAGUGAAUCAUCGAGUCUUUGAACGCACAUUGCGCCCCCUGGUAUUCCGGGGGCAUGCCUUUCCGAGCGUCAUUGCUGCCCUCAAGCACGGCUUGUGUGUUGGGCUUCCGUCCCUGGCAACGGGGACGGGCCCAAAAGGCAGUGGCGGCACCAUGUCUGGUCCUCGAGCGUAUGGGGCUUUGUCACCCGCUCCCGUAGGUCCAGCUGGCAGCUAGCCUCGCAACCAAUCUUUUUAACCAGGUUGACCUCGGAUCAGGUAGGGAUACCCGCUGAACUUAGGC